ensembl:lncRNA
CCCCCCCCUGACGUGUCCUGUCUCCCACCCCCCUUGAAAAAUGUUUUUUGGUCCUGUCUCCCUACACCACUCUGGGUCCCCCUAUACCCCAUCCUGACUGUGUCCUGGUGUCCCCCUACCCCUCCUGACUGUGUCCUGUGUCCCCCUACCCCUCCUGACUGUGUCCUGUCUCCCUACCCCUUGCCCUGGGGGGGGAAAAAACUGUGUCCUGUCUCCUCCCCUCCUGACUGUGUCCUGUUCUCCCUAACCCUCCUGACUGUGUCCCCCCUACCCCUCCUGACUGUGUCCUGUCUUCCCUACCCCUCCUGACUGUGUCCUGUCUCCCCUACCCCUCCUGACGGUGUCCUGUCUCCCCUACCCCUCCUGACUGUGUCCUGUCUCCCUACCCCUCCCCUGACACCAUGUGUAGACAGUGGUCCUUCCUCUGGAAUGUAUAUAGUGCCAUGUACUUAUGAAAAAGGUCUCAUUCCCACAUAAUAAAUGUUAAUAAAUGAUGUUAAUAAAUUUAAAUGAAAACAACUGAAGCCUGGAGUUUGUGUUAUUUCUGACACGGCAGGGAUGGAUCCAGGAGAAGUCCACAAUGUGACACAAUGGACAGGCAGUUGUGGAAGUCCCAGGUUUUGUCCCAAAUAAUACCUUAUUCCCUAUGUAGUGCACUACUUUUGGCCAGGGCCAGUAUGGUGCUGGUCCAAAGCAGUGCACUACAUAGUGAAUAGGGUGUCAUUUGGUAUGCCGACCCACUCUUCAUCCUGUCAAUGUCUGUAAUGUCUAAUGUUAGCUGACAGCUGUGAAGUCCACUGUAUGUAUUGUCAUUUGUGAUGUCUUGUGAGGUCUUCUUGGUUGUACCCAGGACAACUAGUAGCCACUA